UGCAUCGGCCGGAAUCGAACCCGGCCGCCGCGUGGCAAGGCGAGCAUAUCUACCACUGAACCACCGCUGC
rnacentral:tRNA from 1 species